ensembl:lncRNA
CUGGCUCCAUUGCAAACUGAGUAAACAGCUGACGGGCAGGCCAUCGUCGCUGCUGGAGACAGCGAGACAAACACAUGAGGGUCAAAUCCUGAGCGUUUCAGCAGUCACUCAUCAAAAUACCAUUUGACUUGAGCAGGAAGCUGGACUAAAUGUGAACGAUGGUGUUUGGCACAUGGUGGGUGUCCAGAUGGCCUAGUGUUAGGCACUGCCUUCUGAGGGUGGAUCCCACCCAAGUUAUUAUCAAGGAUUCUUGCAACAGCCACAGGAGAGAUUGACAAGUCAGAUCGCCUUCAUUAAGAGCCAAAUUUGGGUCUGCUAAAUCACCCUCUAAAUUUCAAGCAGAUGAAAGACGCUGGAGGAGGAGGAAGAUGGCAAGAAGCGUCGUUCACUGGAAUGCAUGUACUGGAACGCACGCUCACGUCUUCUGCUGGAGGGACCUCUGCCAAGGGAGAACAUCACUUCUGAGGAACUGCUGGUUCAAAUUGCCACUUAAUCUCUUCAAAUUGGCUUUCGUGUACACCCGUGGCACACGGACCUCAGCAGUCUGGUAAGUCUGAAAGUCUGCAUUGUUCUGUUGUCAGGUUCAGAGAAAGACGAAACAAAAAUGCUCAAGUCCAGGGUUGCCUCACUGCCAGUAAUUCCUUUUAAACUAGUUGCAGUAUGCACUCGCAGUGCUGAAGAAUAAUAUCCACUUAACAUGCUGUCAGUUAGAGAAAUGUGUGCCCUGAUUUUGAAGAUGUGAUGAUGUGCUGCUUUGUCUCAGGUGCAGAGCUCUGUGCAGUGCAGCCUGAGGAGAUGCUCUAAAACCUCACCUUGGCUGCACUGAAAAGUGUGGCAAGAGAUGCAGAAUAAUGCCUGACACCUCGAAUGGCAUGCAUCGGGGCUAUUACAUGAUGAAUGGCUGUGUCUUGGGAAUUGGAAGUCAUGGGUGAUAGCUUUAUGGGAGCAGACAAGACUUCUGGAUGUAUAAAGAAAGAAGGACAUAACUCUGAAUUUAUACAAGCCAUAUUUAUUGUAAAACCCUAAUGAAGGUUAAUGCUUUGACCCCAAGGAAGGUGGUGUGCAUUUGCAAUGAAGCUCUGGGAUGCCUCCCUUGUUGAUGGCACACAGAAGCUUGGCAAAUUUGGACUGGGAGAUGGACAUUGUUAUAUGCCAGUGAGCAGCCUGGCUGCUGCCAUCACAGCGCUGGGACCUUGCGGAGUUCCCUGUGAAGGCUGUAUUUGUUUUCUCUUAUGACUUUGGUGUUGAUGAUGAACAAUGGCAUUCUACCAAGUGUGGCAGAUACCACCUGUGGAUGAGCUGCGUUUUGAAGAGGAAAACCCUCCCAAGCGUUGCUCUGUUCUGCAGUGAAGUUUCACUGAUCUGGAACUUCAGGUGCUUCGUCCCCUGGUUUGCUGAUUUGCUGCUACUUGCUGUUUCUGAUUUUCUUUCUACAACAAUGUAUUGGGAACACAGUAUAUGGCUUCUUGAAGAAGGGACAUUCACAGAAGAAGCCACAAGGAAAAUCCCAUCGUGAGCCCCAAAGACACCUUCAUCUCUGCGUCUAUGCAGCUCUAGCCUGUGGCUGCUCUGUGGCUGUCCUGAGCAUGCGAUGCUGAUUCAAAGCUCCGAAGAAGCUGCACCGACCGCCUGUCUUGGCAUGACUGUCUGCUGCUGAAUUUGCUGGAGAAAUUAGAACUUGUCUUGCAGAAGAUGGACUCACUGGUUUUAUUAAUAUUGCAAAAUAGCUAGCUUUGACAAGCAGCCAAGAGUGGAGCUAGUCCCUUUCCCAGCCACAGGUUGUCUCAUAGUGAACCCUUCUUUCACUUGGCAGUGCACUGCAAAUGUGAGAACCAUGCCUCCUCCUGCCAUAGCUCUCACGUUACUCUCAUCUCCACCACGCUGUCCAACUCAGCUUAGCUGAGCGUGGAAGCUGCCUCCUCACCCAAGUAAGCACUGCUUACCCAGGUGUGCCCGGCUGGAUGAGGGAGGGGGACGCCCAACAUCCUGAUGGCAGACAGAUCCCACAGCAAACUGUGUCUGUCAUAGGAGGUGCGAUGAGCCACUUAUGUUGGCCAGAUGUCUCACGGUUGGUUGAGAUGACCCUUCCCCUCUCUCUGAAGGGACACAACUUGGCUUUUCUACAGCUCCAGGUAGAGGAAAAGCACCACUGGCUGCAAGAACUGGGAAUGUGACUCAGCAUCACAGUGUACUGCCUGGGAGGCUGGACGUGUUUAGGAGCCCUGUGCAUGGCCAAGCAACUGGAUGCCAUUGACGUGGUGCUCGAGCCUUGAUCUGCUGUUCAAAGGGGAGAGACUUCUUAAGAAAAAGCCUGAACUGUGGUAGUCCCUUAAGAGUUUCUCCUGGGCCAAAUACUGAAAUCCUCUCUAGGUUAAUUCCUCGCUGGAGACAUUCAGAGGGUUGCACAAGUCAAAAUGAAAUGAAGGCACUGGAUCUGUCUGGCUUGUUUUUAGGGAAUAAUUUAUUUCCCAGAAUCAGCAUUUACGAUUUUUUUUUUUCCCCUUCAGAUCAGACCACCAGCAGGUUUGUUUCACCCUCUAGGUGUUGUCAGGGAAUUACUGGAAAGCAGCACGGCUUUCUAUACCUUUGAUGCUCUUAAAAUUAUAGCCCCUUUUCCCAACACAGAGAUGUAGCUAGAAGAUCUGUGAAAGGUUUUAGCUCACGUUUCCAAGAAAGAACCACUAAUUUUUUGAUGAGUUAAGGCUUUGGCAACAGCAGUGGGAUUCUCUCACCUGCCAGCAGAUAAGAAUCAUUGUAAAUGUUCACCAUUCUGGGCUAUGCUAUCUAGCCAGUUGAAAAGCCAGUAGUGUGCCAUCUGAAUUUUCCCCUUUCAGAAUUUCCAUUGAACGUGGUCGUUCUGACAAUCUGCCAUUCCACUAGCACAAAAAGGUGCUUAUCUUGCAAAGUUAUUUCAUUUAUAUUAACUCAUUGUGUUUACUUAUUUAAAUAUUCUCUGCAGAUGAGACAUAUGGCAAAUGCUGGCCAACUUAGUCUCAGCUGCUUCUCAGAUCCAGAUGCUAAUAUCAUUUCAUAACUUGGCUUGUGCAGUUCAGAUCUGUACCAAAAGAUUCUGUUUUGAAUUACCAUUAUAUUUGAUAUUAAUACUAAGCAUACUCACAGCUGUCCUACAUUGCUAUUUCCACCCUCACUGGGAUUCGGAUCUCAGACAGAGAACAUAACACUCUUCCAUGUCUGCCUCUCAGGCUUUUACAUCUAUCCUGGGCUCACAGUGUAUUGUCUGCAGCAGAGUAUGCACUAAUUACCUCUGCAUCGUACCUAGCUUAGGGGCUUGAUGGCCUUUCUGGGGUCAGGUCUAACCUGGGUGGUUUUUCCAGCACUGUAGUAGUGAUCUUUAACAGGGCAGUCCAGAAAAGACUGACAUGUUGAUUGUUGAGUCUCCAAGGGCAUUUGGGACUGGAUUUCUGAAGUGUUUAGUCACCUGAAGAUGAGGAAUGGUAUCUAAUGGGAUUUUCCAAACCACACUGGGCUCAGAUCCUCAGUGGUAUUAAAUGUCUUUGUCUCGGUGAAGCUCAUGGGAGUGAAGCAGCCAAGCAUGCUGAGGGUGUGGAUGUCCAUGCCCUGUACUCUUUGACAACAUCUGCACAGUCUGUAAGAGCAUCAACACCUUUAUGAGUCUGGAGAAGCCAGCCCAGCCCCAGAAGCUGAGCACAGGACUUCCCUGAGCUGUGGGGAAUGUGCUCACACCUUGCCCCUAGUCUGGCAGAUGCACAGAGAUGAAAUGUUCCCAGCUUUGCAUGGAGUCCAUGCCCACCCUCAGCUAUGGUACUCACUGGGGGAACAGGGGGUGCAAGGAGUAAACCUUACAGCCUGCUAAGGGCAGAACUGGACCAGCUGAGCCUGGGUAAACAUCCGCGUUGCUGGGAAUGGCACUUCAGUCACUUCUAUGACUCAAGUAUUUUCUUUUUCCCACAGAGCCAGUGUCACUAUGGAGAGGAGUAAGAUUAAACAACCCAAUUCCUUGUGCCCGCUGAGUAUGGCUGAGCAACACCUGUGUGUCCGUGGCCAGAAAUUUGCCCUGGGCACGUGAUUCCUUAGCACAAGAGCAGGAUGUAGGCUGCUGCUAAGGAGCAGGUCAGCACUUGAGAAGGAGUCACGUGCCUACUCUCACUGAAAGCUAAAUAUUUCUGUUGGUGACAAUCUAGCUUACCACCUUUUACAGCAGAAAACAGGAGAAAGGCUGUAAAUCCAACGUAACCUCACCUGGCCUCUCAGGAGCCAGCACGGUGGUGGUAGGACUCAGGCUGGGGAACAUCCUGGGUGCCGUUCGGGUUGUGAGUGGGUUGGCAUCCUUGGCACGAGCCCAUUCAAAAGCAGCAGGCACAGCCCUGGCCCCAGCAGUGAAAUGUCCUGGCCAGAUGUGUGCUUGAGGAGCACCUCGCCUGGGUGUUUUCCAAGGUACACCAAGAUGCAUGCUGCGCAGCGAGAGUCAGCGCCUCUCCCUCCAUCUUCUGCUUUCUCCUCAGAGAGGAUUGGAGUUUAUUUAAUCUCAGAUUUCUUGCUGAAAAACGCUCAGUGAGCAUGAAAUGCCUUUGAACUCUGGGAGCAUUGCUACUGCCUGUAAUAAGGCUGGGUAGAGGGAGACAGCCGCUUCCGUUGCUAUUCCAAACACAUCUGCACAACGCACUUCAGGAAGCACUGAAACGUCCCCGCAGCCCCGGCCCCUUCUGUAGGUGCGGGAGGAUGAAGGGCACUGCGUGAGACCCGCACACCAUCGGCACACAGCACGCAACGGGGGCAAAUAGCUGAGCUUCGUAUGAAAGUAUUUCAGCCUAGACAACAAUCAGCUGCAAGGAACUUGGAAUACGUCGGAAAGCGGAUAGCCAGGAAACCCUUUCCAUGAAGUGCAGAGAGGAUUUAGUUGCUGAGAGCUGCAAAGAUGCAUACAUUUUCCUAAAAAAACAUUCGCGGUGCCAACAUGAAGAUUCAGUGCAUUGUCAAAACAAGCCAAGAUUCUUAUUAAAACCAAUUGCUUUGGUUUGUUAGGCUACUUUACUAUGGUGUCUCUAAGCCAACAUAUGUAUUUGGGUUUAGAAGAGCUGUUGCAGCCAAACCUUAGGUGGCUGGAAAUGAAUGCGAGCUGAGCAGAUGCAGGGUAUCAUUUGCCCACUACUGUCCUUUUGAGGCUGCUUGAUGGUAUGUGGUAUGUCAGAUGUUGGCUUUCUCCUCUCUGAGAGCAGAUGGCUUGGUGAGGAAGCUGUGCAAUGCAUCUUUGUAUGAGGUAGGCAAGGCUGCGAGAACCCUAGGUGCAUCUCAUUUGCACAAACAGGAAUGUAACAGAAGAAAAUAAGAGAAAACAUAUAUGAUGUUUCUUGUAACGUGGAUUUCACAUGGCUGAAUGCUGUGAAUAAGAGAAUUUUGAAGAGAGAGGAGAUAUUUUUCAUUAGGCUGUUACGAUCCCCAAAAAGCUCGCAGAAGAAGACCUUGUGUGUCUAAAAGUUAGUCUGCUUUUUGGGAGGGCUAUAUUGGUCCAGCAAAAGACAUUAUCCCUCUCCUAUAUCCUUUAUCUCUUUUGCCCAUCAUGGCUACAGCAAUCCUAUGCUGGAAUAAGAAACCAAGGGGGUGUGCUUCUGCAGCGUGGAUCCUCUCUUCGUGGCAUCAGAGCAGAAGGAGAGUCCUUCCACCUGUGCCAAUGAUGACAGAUGGGGUAUGUGAAAUUGGCACUGGGGGUGAUGUUCUAACACAAGUAUUCAAUUAUUCUCUAGGCAAACCUAAAAAAAAAAAAAAAAACAACCUGAAGAUUUUUUGAAUGUACAUUUGAAGCCAGAAUUACAUUUCUACUUUAUAAUAUAUAUGGUAUUGGAAGAUUUGACUGUUUUAGCAGUGUGAGGUUAAAAAAAGAAACAGUUAAGUCUUCGAGGGGGUGUGCUAGAGAAGGCAAUUCUAUCUACUGCAGUGCUUCAAAGAUCAGGAAGCUGAGAUACCAGAAAUUUUCUUUUCCUAUUCCUUUAUUGAGCACCCCGGCUCACCCAUGAACACUGUGCUUUGUGACCCCAGUAACAUCCCAUAGUGAUAACGUAUUUCCUAAAAGGGCAUUUAAGAGAAAUGCAGGACGAUGCUGUAAGGUGUUGCUAACGGAAUAUCAUCUGCACCAGGCACUGGGAAGCGCUGCUGUGCUGACCCGCAGCCCUGGCUGUUGGGAUGGCUGGGUGCUGGCACUGAGCUGCAGAGGGGCACGCUGCUGGAGGAGGGAGGACGUGCCCGAGAUUCCCAUGCUCUGAGCAAGAGCUCAGGCUCAGCCUGCCUCCAGCGGGCUGCACUCGCACAUCUGAGCCUCAAGGCAAACUCCCAGCCCAGCUAUCAGACUCUUGGCAGCAAUUUCCACACGGGUUUGUUGUAUUUGGACUCGAGAUUCCCCCUUGACCCCAAAAGUCACACUAAAACGCUAAAAGUAUUUUCUUUACUUGCUAAAGAAAACACAGAGGACUUUAUUUAGUUAUUCAGAACUCCUCAGCCAUUCUUCGAUCACUUCAUGAUUUCCAGAGAUUGUAUCUGUGCUGUUGUCUGCCGGCUCGGGUCACUCCGAGCAGCUCGGAGGGGAAGGAAAGCUGCUACAUUUCAUUGUCCUCAAAAGAGGGGAGAAAAAUCCGACUCGCGUUCCCAAUCCAAACACCGCCGCUGCCUCGUGCAUUCUUGACAGCUAGCGAGGCUUCAUUGAGAACCGUUUGUAGCCUUUAGCUCCCUUCUAACAAGUUGGCCAUUGCCAUCGAGGAGAUUUUUUCUCAACUGAUUUAUGAGCUUUAAUUUAUAUGCGAGCCUGGAAUACUUGCUUUGGGAAGAGUUCUGCCACAAGCCAAGCUUGCACGGAGAUGCACAGCAAUUUGCAUGGUAUGUUCUGUACGCUCACCGUCCAGCCUGCAGCAGGCCAAAAAACCCCAGGUGAGGAGCACACGUGGUCGGAGGUGGUGCUGAGUGCUCCCUUCCCAACUGGUCUGCUGACUUAGGUUGGGAAGGUGAAUUUGUCAGGUGGAUUUAAGGGGUUUGGAAAGCCUCCACGUGACCCAGCAGACACAUUUUGGAAGUGUGAAAGCACUGCUAAAGCCUGGGCUCCCGUGUAGCCUGUGCACGGUCACAUGGCGGGGCUGGGAAAUUGUUUAACGGUGUCUCAACGGGUGGUAAUGGGAUUUUCCAAUCCUGAGCUGCCUCGGUGGAGUCCGGGUGUAGGUAGGAUUGUGCUGACUCCACCGUUUCCUUUGGAAGGGAUGGAGAAUGCUUGGCACUUCUUGCAUUGGGUCAGGAGCUCCUGACUUCUGGCUCCUUGGCCCAGACAUGUGAUGGGAGGUGUGUGCCCAAGCGUGGCUGCAGCCCUGUGUGUCCCUGAUGGGAGCACGCAAACUCAGCUGCUGCGUCACAGCCCAGGGCUGGUCUCCGGCUGAAGAACAGCGUGUUUUGUAGGUGCUUUAUUAAUUUCAUUGCUUGCAGCGCAGGAGGAACAUGCUUCUCACCUCUCCUCUGUAUCCAUUGGUUUUCUAUGACCACUUGUUGCAGUGUGACACUCCUACAAAUGGGCAAAUUGCCAGGAAAUCUGAAGACCUGUGUUAAAAUCACUGGAGUUUGGUGGAGCAAGGAACACGCUCGUUAUAUCCAGCCCUUCCUGCACUUUCAAAUACGAGUGGUAAUGCCCAGGAGAAGUGCCUGAUGGGUAGUGCUGCCCCAAGAGGAGAGGCAUUUCAUGCUGGGUCUAGAGGAGUAGGAGCUUCAGCUCUGUUGGGGUGGCUGAUACAUCCAUGGGCAGCCCUGAUGGGCAGCUGAUGGGAAAGAACUGGAAGGUUUCAGUUUCCAAGCAGAAGACGGUUUCUGCAGCAAGGCCUUUAGUGAACACCUUGAUUCUGCAAGGCAAGCAGGGUAGGUGGGGAGGUGUGCUUGCAAUGCACUGCUGCUUGGCCUUGAGCAGGUGGCUGGAGAAGUGGCAGUCCCACUAGCAUGGGGAGCUGUGGUUGGGGAAUUGGCAGCCCCGUGAGCACACAGAGCUUGGCGGUCACCCUCGCAGAGCUGCAAGCCAGCAGCAGCAGCGUGUGUACAGAGUUGCGGUUGUCUAAUCUUGACUGUUAUCAUUCAUCUACAUAACCUCAAGAUGCUUUAUCUAGCACACGGAGGUUGAGGUCUUGUUGCUGACUGCUGUGCUGGAAUAACAGACGGUGCUCUGAUAUGUGCUAUGCUGUCAGCAAAGCCCAGAUGGAUGCAAGUGGAUGAAGACAGCUCUCAUCCUCACAGACAGUUAAAUGCAAGCAACAUGUCCUUCUGUGCUUGGUUCUUUGCAGCAGGUUUGUUCAGCUCAGUGCCUCUGGUCAAUAGGUGCACCACCUCCACCACUUGCUGACAGAAUUAACAUCUAAUCAUUAAUUGCAUCUGAAGUUUGGAAGGACCCUACUACACUUGAGGAUCUCCUGUCAUUGGAGAGGUGGCUUUCUGACUGCAGGGUUCAUCAGAGCCCACUGAGUUACCCUGGCUAUGGGAGGACUCACUGAAGGACAGCUCUUCCAUGGAAAUCACCAUGAAGUCCAUGGGGCAGCCUAGAGGGGCACUCUCAGGUCCUGAGGAUGUGUGCAGACCUGAAAGGGAUCGCGUGAUGGGCAUCCCAGGAGGCUGGGAGUGUGAGUUUGGAUCCAAGCACCAGGGCUUACUCACACCCUGAUGAUAAGAAGGCCUGGGGGAGAGGCACGGGGUUAUUUAUCCAUUUGUUUGGCAGUAGACAAGGCAAUAAAAGGUGCUCUGCAAAAUGCUCAGCAUAAGGAAACCUGAGUCAGAGACAGCCCCAGCCUCCUUAGCUGUUAUCUGUGCUGCUCUAAGCAACAUAAUUCAUCUGACUUACUGAGAUCUGCUCUCUUGGACGUGACCUCCCUCCUGGGAUGCGCUCCACCCGCCAGGACCUCUCUGACCUCAUCUCCCCUUGCCCAUCCCCAUCUGCAGGCAGCUCCUGGAGGUUCUGCUCCUGCCAGGUCUUCCAUCUAUGCCUGGGACCCCCACUGCAGCCACCUCCCACCUUCAGCUCUUCUUGAGGGUUUCCUAGUCCUCCCUCUGAAAACAGGCUCUGUGGUUUGGGAGUUGCCAAACAAACAGAACCCAAGGGAAGGCUGUGGUUUCUGCUGCUCUUUCACUUACCUAGAGCAAUAAACCACCAUUGGUGCACAGAUGUCACUACUACACAUAGCACAGGACGAAGGCAGCAGGAAGGGUUUGUGGAAGGCCAGGUGUGUGGGCACACGACCCCUGAGAGGGUCUGAGCAGAAGCUGGGACACUCUCCCCAGUGCCAUCCCCACCAACUAUGUCUAAGCAACAGCGAUACAUGAUCUAUAUUAUUAGUGAAGAGAACAGGGCACAGAAGCGGUCAUUAGAGCAGCUUGUUCAUCAUACAAGGAAGAUCACUAUAAGAAAGAUACUGAGGCUCUGGAGUGUGUUCAGGGAAGGGCGAUAGAGCUGGGAAGGGUCUGGAGCAGAAGUCUGAUGGGGAGCAGCUGAGGGAACUGGGAUGGUUCAGUCUGGAGAAGAGGAUCAGGUGUGACCUUAUUGCUCUCUACAACCACCUGAAAGGAGAUUGUUGUGAAGUGGGGGUUGCCCUCUGCUCCCAGGUAGCAGCAACAGGACAAGAGGUGAUGGCCUUAAAUUGCACCAGGGAAGGUUCAGGUUGGACAUUAGGAAAAACUUAUUCGUAGAAAGAGUGGUCAUAGAGUGGCACAAGCUGUCCAGGGAGGUGAUGGAGUCACAGCCUCUGGAUGUAUUCAUGAACUGUGAAGAUGUGGCACUGAGGGAAGCGGUUGGUGGGCAUGGUGGGGAUGCUUUGAUGGUUGGAUCAGAUAAUCUUAGAUAUCUUUUAAUGAUUCUAUGAUUCUAUGAUCUCUUGCUAUUCUUUGCAAGUUCUACAGCACUGAGGUCAGUGUCUAGCAGGGAUGGGUCCAGGUAAUGCAGUGACUGUACCUAUGGUCAGAACAUUAAACUGGUGCUCUUGUGCCUUUUCCCAGAGCUGAGUGGUUUUACGUGAUGGAAAAGUGUAAGAAAACACCGCUGUGCUAAGGCACAAGCCUUCCCACCACAAUGGGCUGCAGGAGUAAAUGAGACAGUUUUCAGAAAGAAGUAAAAUCUUACAUAUUUGUCCUGUAGGGCUUGGUGGGUGUUUUCCAUCUGCAUCAGCUUGUCUGGUAAAACCCACUACCUUUUUCUCCACAAAAUGUCUUUUCCAGACAGAUAUGCUGUACAACUCCCACAGCUCCUAUGAAUUAUGAGACUAAUGGAGCAAUCCCCAGCAUUUGAUAUGUGGGAAAGCAGCAAGGUAUUGCAACAUCUCCCACUAUAUUCUUUGCAUUCUGGGGAUGAACACUGCUAUAAAACCUAUCUAUCCUUCUCCUUACAUACAUACGUGCUCCUUCUUUGCAAGGCCUGCAGUCACAGAGCUGCAUGUCCCAGCCUUCCUUGCAUUUGGCAGCACGAGGAACAAAACCGACAGUCACUUCCAUUUGAGAACACAUCGUUGGUCCUUUCACAUCCCCUUUGUAUCAGGGAUUUCCACGUGCUCCCAUGGGAGCUGGACUGUGCAGCAGCUGAAGCAGCUCUGUGUACCAGAGUUUAAUGACAGUGAGUGUUUACAGUGCAAUUCACAGUGGAAGUCCAAAAGAAAGGAAUUAGGGAGACACAGAGGAGUGAGGUCAGGGUUUUUUUGUUCCUGAUGGGCACAAGUCCACAAGGUUAGCUAGAAUUAUUUUUAAAAUAUUAAUCACUUUCAUUGAGUUGGGGAAAAUACAGGCCAGGCUUGUCCCUGGGUUGAAUUUUGCCUUUUGAAACUUAAAUAACAAAAAUAAUGUCAUGUGAGUUUACCAGCAUUCAAAACCUCAUCAGACUCUGAGUCGUGUUGGGUUUUCCUGGUACCUGUGAAGAUGAAAUUUAUUCAUGAGGUCAGAAUCAAUUAAUUUUCCACAUAACAGGACCAUACUUGAGCAUCUGCACCAUACUGGAAUGUCCUUCACGUUUUGUGGUUUUGAGGAAUUUGAAUACCUGCUUAAAGAAAAUGUAUGUUUCCCAAGAUGCAUUAUUAUCACGUUUUUAACCUUUAGAUACACUGAGCUGUUUCAGAGCCCGCAGCUGUUGUGGUUGUAUGGCCACAACCGUGUAAGUACAAUGGACUGGAAAACAUAAAAGGAAACAUUUUGUGCUUCAGAAAGUUGAAAAAUGAAAUGAAAAUGCAAAGAGAACUGAGAAAGAAAAGGGUUAACCGUUUAAAGGGUUGAGUUAAACAAAGCAUAUCUGUGCAAGAGCCUCCCCAAGGAAGCGGCUGAGACCACAUCUCUUGGAUCAUUUAAACCUGGACUGUACAAAGCAAUAGAGAAAAUUCUGCAGGGAACAAUCCUUCACUGGCAGGUGGGAUGGACUCAAUGACCUAAUAAGUGUUUUCCAUCUCUAAGUCUAUGGGAUGAGUCUAUAACUAGUGCGCUACAGCUUUGCCCAGAGUUCCCAUGUGUUGGCUAUAAGCAGAUCCAAGCUGCACCCAACUGUGUGUUGUUUGAGUUAACUGUUUACGUGGUUCUUUUGCCACCACCUGGUUUCUUUUUCAGCAGAUUCUCUACACAAACAGAUGAUUCUUUUAUACUCCUUUUUUUUUUUUUUUUUUUUUUUUUUGGUAUGUAAAGCAUGUUAAAUCACAUAAUGUACCAUUAUGUUUCCUUAAAAUAGAGCAGGAGUGCAGGAAACUUCCUCUUUCUCCCCCCUUUCUGAUAAUGACCAUCUGAAUGUCAUCGUGGGAAGGAAUUAGGCUGCCGAGCUCCUUGCCCAGUUGUCCAUCGGGGUGGUCCCAGCAUCUCCUCAACCAUAUGGCAGGAAACCUCCCGUCUUCUACAGGUUUCUGAUGGAUAAACUGGAUGCUGUCUGAUCUCUGUGCCCAAUCUCAAAUUCACAAAGGGAAAGGCACCAAGGAUGCACAAAUAGCAAUUUCUGAGGCUACCAACAAGCAUGUAGGCAGGGAAUGCAGCUUGGAGAUGGGAUCUGUGAGGCCCUCUGCCUCUCCAAGGUCUUCCAAGGAAGCCACCGGCCCUGGCCAGUCCUGUCCCUAAUCCCACCGUGUUCAUCCCGGGCAUGAAGAUGUUCUGUGGGAGAAGUCAUGGUCCCGCAGCACUUGGCUCUCCAGCAGCAGCUCCAUACAGUCAUCACACGGAGAGUCGGGGAAAGCAGGACCUGUCUGGAUAAUAAGCCAUCAUUUCGUCCCAUGCUUAAAAGAAGCUCUCUGUGCUUUGAACAGGCCAAAUAACAUUUUCCCCCAUAAUUUUUUAACUUUGGGCACCUUUGCAAAUUACUCUCCUGGCUGGGAAGGAGCUCAGGAGUGCCAGAACACCAUGGGAAGAGGCUGCUCUGUGAUACUGCCAACCUGCGAAGGAGGAGGAAAUGCUGGAAAUCCCCUAAGCACGCCUGUUUUCUUGAGAUUCCCAACUCGAUUUUGCAAACUCAGAAGAUUUUAUAUAAUUUGGUUUAGUCGGUUCAGAGGUCUAAGGCACUUGGCUGUGCAUCUGGAUUGCAUCUUUGGGGUGGGUUAUCCAAAAAAGUACUCAGAACAGUAUGAAAUUCAUCCUUCGCUAGCAAAGCUGAAGGAAAACAAGAGCACGGGAAGGGAGUUUCUUCUCUCUGCUUGCUGUGCUGGACGCUGGGUGUGAACCUGUGAUCCGUGCCUCUGCCACCAGAUGCUGUGCCUUGUGCCAGCAGAGGAGACAUCAGCCCGCUGACCACCUGUCUUCAGAGCAAGAAAAAAAGGAAAAGAGAGAGAAUUUGAAAAUAAAUCUCUCAUCUGAUGUGCAAGUGCAGCAAGCACAGUGAUGACACACAAGCUACAGGGCUUUAUUCAGGCUUCCCUGUCUGAUAAUGUGGGCCUUAAAAACCCCUGACAUGAAAUGAUUCAGGUUGAAAAGUGCAAGUCAAUCCAAAACAGAAACAAAGAAACUUAGUGUUAACGGCCCUUUCAUUUUAUCACCAUAGAAAAGGGUUGCGUAUUGAUGCGACAGUGCCCACGGAAGCCCAGAGCCCAUCUGCAGGUGGUGCUAACCCAGAGCUGUCCCACAGCAUUGGCAGCCACCAGCACCUCGCGGGCUGGGCUGGGCUGGGCUCUGCCUGCAGGCGGCUGCGUUCGGCGGUGGGUGAAACGAGUCCUCUGUUUUGAUGGGCCAACUCUUCCCUUUAGAUGUCUGUGCUCACCUCCCAUUAACUUUGGUAUGAGCUGAGCUCAUGCUUCCAAGAGCGAAAUUUGGCUUAUAAUUUCUGCAUGCUUCGGGAUCCUUUGGGUACCAUAUAAAUGUAACAUGCUGUGAUUCAGUGCUAAAGAGCAGAGAAAAUUCAACCCCCCAGGAGAUACAGUGAGAGAAAAUCAUAUAGAACCUUUGUUUAAAAUAAUAAUGAAAAGAAAAAAGAAAGAUCAAGAAAAACAAUUGAGAUUCAUUCCAAAGCUGAGUUCAUUGCACAGCGAGGACAGAACGCACAUCCCUUAUCCAGCGAUAGCUUCUUUGACAUGGAUGAGUUAGGGCCCAUUGGACCAGGCCCCAGUUUUGAAGGCAUUAUUGAAAAUGUCUUACCUCCUAUAUUUCCUGUUUUUUAAUCAAACUCACUGUGCUGCCAGAGGUGUUUCAUUUACCAGGAGAGGGGUCAGCGAGGCAGCCACGAGCAACAGGAAAUAAAGCACCGUGCGGCCCCUCCCUGCCUGGACGCGGGCUGGGGCCAGCAGUGCUGAGCUCGGUGCUGUCUGCCUGUACCAUGGCAUCCUACAGCCAACGUGGGCACUGGGGGUCUGCCUGCUGGCUCUGCCAUGCAGCCCUGCGCCAACAGCGAACGGUGCAUACAUCCUCGAAUUUUAUUUUCUAUCUACUGCCGUAGUUUCUUGGCUUGUUGCAACUGUCAUAAAAUUACUUUAUUAUAUUUUCCCAUCUGUUAUGUUUUUGCUUCUUUAGAGGGGGAUGUUGCGUGAUGCUUAUAGUCUAAUUUAGCUUUAAACUUGUAUGGCUGUUGUUUAUGGAAAACGAACGUUGCAUUUGCAGAAUAACCUGUGGCUUUCCUGUAGAACCAAGGAGAAUGUCUGCAGGCAGCAAACAUGGAUGCAACCAGAUGGACAGGACUGCUCAUUGCCUCCUGCCCCAACUCCUCUGCUUUGAGUUGUGGCCUUGGCCAUGGCCAGUGGAGUUCUAAUUACUCAUUAAUUUAGCUAUCCUCCUGCAUUGCCCAGCUAAGGGCUCUCCAUCACCACUUUCACCACUGUUGAAGCCAUUCAUUCAGUCUUAGCUUGAACAACCUAAGUCUUAGAAUAAUUUGUUCUUUAACAAAAAGCGCAGAGAACAGAGCGCUGCUCUGCCCACCUGGCUUGUUUUCCGCUCUCCUCUUUGCCUCCAGUCUGACUGCUGGUUCUCAUGGUCUGCCUGAGCUGGAGAGUAAUCCCAUCCACUCCCCUGCUCACAUUGUUGUUUUUUUUUCCUGUAAUUUGUACUGCUAGUGUAUAUUAAAGAUUUUGUUCUGUUAAACUGUUGAGACUGUUAGAUGAAAUCCAGCAUUUAAUCUGGGAGUUUGGCGAUACCAAAGGAUUUCUGAACACACAAAAUCCUGCUCUAAGAAGAAAAAAGUGAAGUUUGAGAAUCCUAUUUAUGUACCUCCACUGAGUCUCUCCUUCCUGCCCUGAGUGUAUUACACUGUGCUUCUCAAACACAAUUUUAUCUCCAGGAGAGGAAGCAAUAACUGUUCUUAUCAGUGGACCAGAACCUACAUCAUGCACAUGGCAUGAGGCAAAGAAAUCCCAUGCACCUGCAACUGGCCACGACUUUGGCACAAACAGAAGCAGAGAGAGCACACGUGUAAGGAGCUGAGUCAAGGACUUUGAGCAACGAUGUGACUGCUGUCUAUCAGGAUCUUGUGAAUAACAAGGCAGCUGGGGUGUGACUUCAAAAUAUAACUGUGACAUUUGUGGACAUCAUAGGCAAUUAGUUGUUUUUCGAUUGCGGUUGUCUAACUGGAAAGUAUGGGUGAAGUUUCAGCCUCUACAACGGUCCAACUGUUUGACAUCAACAGUUUCGAAAAAGGGACUUUUACUGUAUAAAAUGAUUAUUCCUAUCUGUAGAUUGUAGUAAAAGAAAAAUCCAAGGCACGAUGUGAAACUGAUGCCUGAGUAGAGCUGUGCAAGAUCGCUUCGGUGGCAGCUCUCUUGGCUUCCACCUCUGUGCCAUCAGUGCUGCACUUCUUGUGGAUGCUGUCCUUCAGGAUUAAGAAGGAAUAAAGAGAAUCAGACACAGAAUCACUGCCUGUGCUGGAAUUCAGCUGGUGAAGACCUCAAAAUGAACUGGCAAGGAGGUUGCAUUUGAACUCUGCAGCCCCUAUGUUCAAUUCUUUAUUAACUUUUUCAAUAUGUUCUAUUACGGUCACAAUAUGGGAGCUAUCUUGCAGCUAAUUUAACACCUGUAAAUUCCCAUGGCUGGUAAUGAAACAUUGCAUAGACUAGUGGAUGAAGCAUUUGCUUCAUAUAUCUAAGGUCAUUAGUUCAGUACUCGUUAAUGCUGUAGCUUUUAUUAAAAUUUCUUUUAGUUUUGGUUUUCUUUUUGCAUCAGCCCCUUACAGGCUGAUUAAUUCUUCUCCUUCCCAAAGCUAAACACAAAACAUGAGCAUCUGACCCAGAGCACUGGGGCUAAACUCUGCACUGAAGUCUUGAAUUAUGCUGCCUGAGGUUAUCCUUUCAAAGCCUCCCCGGCUGCCAUGAGGGUGACAGUGUGACACCAGGGGACACGUCAUCGUGGCCAGGUCAUGGUGACACAAGUGACACUGCUGUUGGCACGUUCCGUUCCCUCUGCCCAGCCUGCGCUGUGUCAUCACUGCUGCGGCUGAGAAAAGCAGAGGCAGUGAGCUCCGGCCCUGCAGCUGGUGUUGCUGGAUGUUUUCUAUCCAACCUGACCCUUUCUCAACCCUGACAUGGGUUGGGUCCACCACAGUAGCCAACUUUUCAAAACACAACCAGCACAAAGCAACAUUAUCAUGAAAGUAAGCGGCUUCUGGAGAUGAAAUCACAUGAGCCGUGCAUCCAAAUGCGAUGCUGCAGCUUCUGGGAAACGCUGAGCGUGCGCUUCUUCACCUUGCAAGCUCUUGGCAUGCGUGCUGUUUAUCAAAAUAACAGCUCAUUGAAAUACAGCCCAAAGGACUGCCAGGAAGGUUGAAUGAAGCACUGUUGUUUCCAGCACACCACGGUCUCCAUUGGUUUCUCCAGAGGAGGGAAGUGCGUGGGCUCCAGGAACGCACCCCAUGCCCAAAGCCCACCUGGUUCUGCCUGCACGUGGAGCUGCCAUGGGACUGCGCCUCGGCCAGAUCUGGACAUUGCUUUGUUAGCAAAGUGCCACCUGCCAGGAGUCUGCCCCUGGGGCAUCAUUCUGGUCAUCCACAGGGAAAAGAAAUGCUGGAUGUACUCCUGACACCAUUAAUUUGAUCUGUAAACAAGCUAUGCUUUUUAUUAACAACUUCAUGCUGCAGAAUGUUAUAAGGUAUGUGCUUCUUUGUAAGAAACGCAUGCUGUUUUAUAUUCAUAUCCGUGCCUGCCUUAUAGCUGGCUUUGUGACGCUACUCAUUAAUUCAGGAUUGAAAUGUCUUUCUCACUCUAUGACAUUUAGGUGCCUGAUAUUUUUUACAAAGCUUAUUAAAACUCAG